rnacentral:rRNA from 1 species
GACAUAGGUGGCGAACGUUAUCCGGAAUUAUUGGGCGUAAAGGAUGCGUAGAUGGUAGAAUAAGUUACUGGUCGAUGCCAAACUCAAUUUGACGGAAGCUGGUAAUACUGUUCUGCUAGAGGGCAGGAGAGGUUGAUGGAAUUCUGUGUGGAGCGGUGAAAUGCGUUGAUCUACAGAGGAACACCAGUGGCGAAAGCGGCUUCCUGGUCCAGCACCGACGUCAGGCACGAAAGCGUGGGGAGCAAACAGG